rnacentral:rRNA from 2 species
AGACCCGAAACCCGGUGAUCUAGCCAUGGGCAGGUUGAAGGUUGGGUAACACUAACUGGAGGACCGAACCGACUAAUGUUGAAAAAUUAGCGGAUGACCUGUGGCUGGGGGUGAAAGGCCAAUCAAACCGGGAGAUAGCUGGUUCUCCCCGAAAGCUAUUUAGGUAGCGCCUCGUGAAUUCAUCUCCGGGGGUAGAGCACUGUUUCGGCCAGGGGGCCAUCCCGGCUUACCAAUCCGAUGCAAACUGCGAAUACCGGAGAAUGUUAUCACGGGAGACACACGGCGGGUGCUAACGUCCGUCGUGAAGAGGGAAACAACCCAGACCGCCAGCUAAGGUCCCAAAGUCAUGGUUAAGUGGGAAACGAUGUGGGAAGGCCCAGACAGCCAGGAUGUUGGCUUAGAAGCAGCCAUCAUUUAAAGAAAGCGUAAUAGCUCACUGGUCGAGUCGGCCUGCGCGGAAGAUGUAACGGGGCUAAACCAUGCACCGAAGCUGCGGCAGCGAACGUAUCACCCAAGACAACUUUGCACAGUUGACGAUUGACGGAGCGAAGCGACGUCAAAGCGUUUUACAACGUCGAGUUGGCUUAGGGAUACGUUCGUUGGGUAGGGGAGCGUUCUGUAAGCCGUUGAAGGUGUGUCGUGAGGCAUGCUGGAGGUAUCAGAAGUGCGAAUGCUGACAUAAGUAACGAUAAAGCGGGUGAAAAGCCCGCUCGCCGGAAGACCAAGGGUUCCUGUCCAACGUUAAUCGGGGCAGGGUGAGUCGACCCCUAAGGCGAGGCCGAAAGGCGUAGUCGAUGGGAAACGGGUUAAUAUUCCCGUACUUGGUGUUACUGCGAAGGGGGGACGGAGAAGGCUAUGUUGGCCGGGCGACGGUUGUCCCGGUUUAAGCGUGUAGGCUGACUUUCCAGGCAAAUCCGGAGAGUCAAGGCUGAGGCGUGACGACGAGGCACCACGGUGCUGAAGCAACAAAUGCCCUGCUUCCAGGAAAAGCCUCUAAGCCUCAGGUAACAUCAAAUCGUACCCCAAACCGACACAGGUGGUCAGGUAGAGAAUACCAAGGCGCUUGAGAGAACUCGGGUGAAGGAACUAGGCAAAAUGGUGCCGUAACUUCGGGAGAAGG